rnacentral:rRNA from 1 species
GAGGUCCGACCUGCCCAGUGAUAUCAAUUCAACGGCCGCGGUAUACUGACCGCGCUAAGGUAGCGCAAUCACUUGUCUCUUAAAUCGAGACUAGUAUGAAAGGACCCACGAGAGUCUAACUGUCUCCUUUUUUUAAUCAGUGAAACUAAUCUCCCCGUGAAAAAGCGGGGAUCAUAAUAUAAGACGAGAAGACCCUAUGGAGCUUAAGAUUAAACAAUACUUCUUUUUUCCCCCCCAUUUUCAGAAAAAUACCCCCACAAAGAACUUUAUUGUUAAACUUCGGUUGGGGCGACCGCGGAGUAAAACCAACCCUCCACGCAAGUGGAAAUCCCCUCCACAACAAAGAGCCACAACUCUAUGAACCAAAAAUUGUUAAUUGACCCAAUGCUUGAUCAACGAAACAAGUUACCCUAGGGAUAACAGCGCAAUCUACUUUAAGAGUCCCUAUUGACAAGUAGGUUU